ensembl:misc_RNA
UAUCUUUGACCCAUUAUUACAGAUUCAAAAACAAGCAUAUUUUCAAAUGGAACUCUGCACUGCCAGUGAUGUAUCAACACUCUAGGUCAUUAUUCUUUUCUAAAUGUGAUAAUAAUGUGAUCUGUUAACAUUAAAAGAAAGUUUGACUCUACAAAAGCAGCUGGAAAUGGACAACCACAAUAUGCUGAAACAGAACUCUUCCCAUUAGAAGCUCCCUGUUUGAUAUAUAUUGUUAAAAGUUCCUCAUAUUUGGGAUUCUUUUGAAGCAAAAUACUUGCAUUGUAACUCAGCUGGUGUUGGAUAUGAAUGAAUGUGGAAAUAUUCAUUUCUCAGUGGUAACCCAGAAUUUUUAUUUUUUCACAUUUCUGAUAUAUUUAAUAGGUUUUGAAACACCCUGUUGUGGGGAGGAUGCAGAGGGGGUGCGAAAA